rnacentral:rRNA from 1 species
UAAGUUAAUAAGGGCGCACGGUGGAUGCCUUGGCACUAGGAGCCGACGAAGGACGUGACAAACGACGAUAUGCCUCGGGUAGCUGUAAAUAAGCGAUGAUCCAGGGAUUUCCGAAUGGGGGAACCCAACAGGUAAUACCUGUUACCUACAUCUGUUAAGGAUGUGAGGAGGAAGACGCAGUGAACUGAAACAUCUAAGUAGCUGCAGGAAGAGAAAGCAAAAGCGAUUGCCUUAGUAGCGGCGAGCGAAACGGCAGAAGGGCAAACCGAAGAGUUUACUCUUCGGGGUUGUAGGACUGCAAUGUGGACUCAAAGAUUAUAGAAGAAUGAUUUGGGAAGAUCAGCCAAAGAGAGUAAUAGCCUCGUAUUUAAAAUAGUCUUUGUACUUAGCAGUAUCCUGAGUACGGCGGGACACGUGAAAUCCCGUCGGAAUCUGGGAGGACCAUCUCCCAACCCUAAAUACUCCCUAGUGACCGAUAGUGAACCAGUACCGUGAGGGAAAGGUGAAAAGCACCCCGGGAGGGGAGUGAAAUAGAACCUGAAACCGUGUGCCUACAACAAGUUCGAGCCCGUUAAUGGGUGAGAGCGUGCCUUUUGUAGAAUGAACCGGCGAGUUACGUUAUGAUGCGAGGUUAAGUUGAAGAGACGGAGCCGUAGGGAAACCGAGUCUGAAUAGGGCGCCUUAGUAUCAUGACGUAGACCCGAAACCAUGUGACCUACCCAUGAGCAGGUUGAAGGUGCGGUAAGACGCACUGGAGGACCGAACCAGGGCACGUUGAAAAGUGCUUGGAUGACUUGUGGGUAGCGGAGAAAUUCCAAACGAACUUGGAGAUAGCUGGUUCUCUCCGAAAUAGCUUUAGGGCUAGCGUCGACAUUAGAGAUUCUUGGAGGUAGAGCACUGUUUGGGUGAGGGGUCCAUCCCGGAUUACCAAUCUCAGAUAAACUCCGAAUGCCAAUGAAUUAUGGUCGGCAGUCAGACUGCGAGUGCUAAGAUCCGUAGUCGAAAGGGAAACAGCCCAGACCACCAGCUAAGGUCCCAAAAUAAUUGUUAAGUGGAAAAGGAUGUGGGGUUGCACAGACAACUAGGAUGUUAGCUUAGAAGCAGCUAUUCAUUCAAAGAGUGCGUAAUAGCUCACUAGUCGAGUGACCCUGCGCCGAAAAUGUACCGGGGCUAAAACAAUUUACCGAAGCUGUGGAUACCUUUAUAGGUAUGGUAGGAGAGCGUUCUAUGUGUGAUGAAGGUAUACCGUGAGGAGUGCUGGAACGCAUAGAAGUGAGAAUGCCGGUAUGAGUAGCGAAAGACAGGUGAGAAUCCUGUCCACCGUAAGACUAAGGUUUCCAGGGGAAGGCUCGUCCGCCCUGGGUUAGUCGGGACCUAAGGAGAGACCGAAAGGUGUAUCCGAUGGACAACAGGUUGAUAUUCCUGUACUAGAGUAUGUAGUGAUGGAGGGACGCAGUAGGCUAACUAAAGCAGACGAUUGGAAGAGUCUGUCUAAGCAGUGAGGUGUGAAUUGAGUCAAAUGCUUAAUUCUAUAACAUUGAGCUGUGAUGGGGAGCGAAGUUUAGUAGCGAAGUUAGUGACGUCACACUGCCAAGAAAAGCUUCUAGCGUUUAAACAUACUCUACCCGUACCGCAAACCGACACAGGUAGUCGAGGCGAGUAGCCUCAGGUGAGCGAGAGAACUCUCGUUAAGGAACUCGGCAAAAUGACCCCGUAACUUCGGGAGAAGGGGUGCUGACUUAAAGUCAGCCGCAGUGAAUAGGCCCAAGCAACUGUUUAUCAAAAACACAGCUCUCUGCUAAAUCGUAAGAUGAUGUAUAGGGGGUGACGCCUGCCCGGUGCUGGAAGGUUAAGAGGAGUGCUUAGCGUAAGCGAAGGUAUGAAUUGAAGCCCCAGUAAACGGCGGCCGUAACUAUAACGGUCCUAAGGUAGCGAAAUUCCUUGUCGGGUAAGUUCCGACCCGCACGAAAGGCGUAAUGAUUUGGGCACUGUCUCAACGAGAGACUCGGUGAAAUUUUAGUACCUGUGAAGAUGCAGGUUACCCGCGACAGGACGGAAAGACCCCAUGGAGCUUUACUGCAGUUUGAUAUUGAGUGUCUGUACCACAUGUACAGGAUAGGUAGGAGUCUAAGAGAUCGGGACGCCAGUUUCGAAGGAGACGCUGUUGGGAUACUACCCUUGUGUUAUGGCCACUCUAACCCAGAUAGGUGAUCCCUAUCGGAGACAGUGUCUGACGGGCAGUUUGACUGGGGCGGUCGCCUCCUAAAAGGUAACGGAGGCGCCCAAAGGUUCCCUCAGAAUGGUUGGAAAUCAUUCGCAGAGUGUAAAGGUAUAAGGGAGCUUGACUGCGAGAGCUACAACUCGAGCAGGGACGAAAGUCGGGCUUAGUGAUCCGGUGGUUCCGUAUGGAAGGGCCAUCGCUCAACGGAUAAAAGCUACCCUGGGGAUAACAGGCUUAUCUCCCCCAAGAGUUCACAUCGACGGGGAGGUUUGGCACCUCGAUGUCGGCUCGUCGCAUCCUGGGGCUGUAGUCGGUCCCAAGGGUUGGGCUGUUCGCCCAUUAAAGCGGCACGCGAGCUGGGUUCAGAACGUCGUGAGACAGUUCGGUCCCUAUCCGUCGCGGGCGUAGGAAAUUUGAGAGGAUCUGCUCCUAGUACGAGAGGACCAGAGUGGACUUACCGCUGGUGUACCAGUUGUCUUGCCAAAGGCAUCGCUGGGUAGCUAUGUAGGGAAGGGAUAAACGCUGAAAGCAUCUAAGUGUGAAACCCACCUCAAGAUGAGAUUUCCCAUGAUUAUAUAUCAGUAAGAGCCCUGAGAGAUGAUCAGGUAGAUAGGUUAGAAGUGGAAGUGUGGCGACACAUGUAGCGGACUAAUACUAAUAGCUCGAGGACUUAUCCA